rnacentral:tRNA from 1 species
GGGGCCGUAGUCUAGCCUGGCUAGGAUGCCGGCCUGGGGCACCAGCCCCGAAGCUGGCUCGAUGCCGGUGAACCCGGGUUCAAAUCCCGGCGGCCCCA